rnacentral:rRNA from 1 species
GAACGAGAAAGUGGAGCAAUCCAUGAGUAAAGUGGCGACCGGGUGAGUAACACGUGACUAACCUACCUCCGAGUGGGGAAUAACUCCGGGAAACCGGGGCUAAUACCGCAUAACAUCGCAAGAUCAAAGCAGCAAUGCGCUUGGAGAGGGGGUCGCGGCUGAUUAGCUAGUUGGCGGGGUAACGGCCCACCAAGGCAAAGAUCGGUAUCCGGCCUGAGAGGGCGCACGGACACACUGGAACUGAAACACGGUCCAGACUCCUACGGGAGGCAGCAGUGGGGAAUUUUGCGCAAUGGGGGAAACCCUGACGCAGCAACGCCGCGUGGAGGAUGAAGCCCUUUGGGGCGUAAACUCCUUUCGACUCGGACGAUAAUGACGGUACGAGUGGAAGAAGCACCGGCUAACUCUGUG